ACUCUUCUAUUGGAAAACUUCAAAUAUCCAUCUUGUGAUUUAAUGCUUUCUUAUUUUAGUAUUUUGUAGUUUAAAGGUGUAUAAUUUAAACAAUCUAUAGCUACGUUUGUCUUUUUCCGUUGGCCCUUUCAUUAACUUCUCUGUUAAAGUCUUAAAGCAUACAGAAAAAACUUCAAAUAACCCCACCCCCUCCCCCUCUCCUGUGGUUUAUCAAUUUUUUAUUUUAGUACCAUAUGGUUCUAACUAUUAAAGAUAUGCCUUCUUUUUUAUUAGUUUAUGAAAAAAUAAAAAGGAUCUCAUAAGAAUUUAUUUUUGGUGGAUCCUAAUUUAAAUUGGAAUC
rnacentral:lncRNA from 1 species